GCCUGACUGGCUCAGUCCGUGGAGCAUGUGACUUUUGAUCUUAGUGUCAUGAGUUCAAGCCCCAUAUUGGGUG
rnacentral:tRNA from 1 species